rnacentral:lncRNA from 1 species
CAAUAGUGGUGGUUCUUGUGUGCACAUAUGUCAUGUCAUUUGCCUGGUCAUGGGGACCUUUGGGCUGGUUGAUUCCAAGUGAGACAUUCCCAAUGGAAACAAGAACAGCUGGUUUCGCUUUUGCAGUUAGCACAAACAUGCUCUUCACCUCCUUAAUUGCUCAGGCAUUCUUGACCAUGCUCUGCAAAAUGCAGGCUUACAUUUUCUUCUUCUUCUCAGCCUGGAUUGUUGUGAUGGGAUUGUUCGUCAUAUUCCUUUUGCCAGAAACCAAAGGAGUCCCUAUUGAUUCUAUGGUGGAAGAUGUAUGGAAGAAGCAUCCUGUUUGGAAGAAACUCUUCAAGAAUGAAUGAUCAUUCAAAGGAUUGGCUUAAUAUCCCUCCUAUGUUUAAAUUGGUUUAUAGUCGUCUUUGAUUCAGUGAUAUAGUGCUAAACUUAUGGCAUUUAUUGCCUACAACCUAUCCUCCUAUCCUUUGUAAAUUUGUUUUCAAUUAUCCAUGUAUCGAGGUUUAGUGCUCCAAUCAAAGCAAUUGGAUGAAUUGUUGUGGUUCGUCCAGUGAGCUUUGAAAGAGUACUAGCUUCUAUCAUCUUUUCCUUUUAAUGAAUUCCAUGUCUUCAUUGUUUUGUUGUAAAAAUAUGAAAAUUUAUGAAAUCGAAAAAGAACAAUUCCUCUACUUCGACAUCCAGUUGAUUGUUUCGUUAUGUGAGCUGUAUGUCAUUGUUCGUUGCAAAUUAAAAGAUUGACAUCCAUGUUGUUGGUUUAAAAGUGAACCACAAGCCAUUCCUUAGAUGGUUUGCGGUUGUAAAUAAAGGAAAAGAAUAUAUAAGUAGUAGCUAAUUAACUGGAGUUGAUUAGAGAAUUAAAAUGAGUUAUAAUGAAGUUUCAACCAUGGGAAAGAGGAAGAAGAAGAUAUUUGAAGAUAAAUCUCAUUAUUAGGUAUGCAAAUAUUUAUCUUGAGAAUCCGGUGAUGCUUACAUUGGAACUAUUAUAAACAAACAUAACAUUUUAAUCCAAGGAUUGGAUGAGGGCAAAUUACUAAUUCCAGUUAAUAUGUUUGAUUCUUUUAAUUGUAUAUAAAUUAAAGAGAAUAUUUUUAAGACUUAUAUCCUAUCAAUUUUUUUUACGCAGAUCUUUAGGUGGAUAAAUAGUCUUAAUUCUCUCUCUUCUCUCUCCUCCAUGUGCAUGUUAGUGGUGAGUGCUAACAUACGCCAUCGCCGAAAUGCCUAGAAGGGGGAAUUGGAGGACAGCGAUCAAGGAGGCAAUAACGGAAUUGACGGAAUGAAUUACUGAGGACGGGAAUCUAGGGUUGGGAUCUGGAAAAGUGCGAUCAAUUACGAAAAUUCUGAGCAAAACACCAGGACCGGAGAAGACUAUCGGAGAAAUCAACACGCCAACAAAUCGGACGGUACUACAGAAAAAGAAUGUAAACGUAACACUGGAAGUGCUGCAACAGAUGGCAAGGACUAUACCUAGGUUGGAGGGGAAAAACCUGCAAACUACUGUUCGAUUGGAGAAUUUAACUUCUCCAAAUACUGGAACACAGCAGGGCAGGGCAAAUGAUAUGAUUCAAGGAAGUGAAGUGAUUGAAGCAAAAACUAAUGAAAAGGAGCCUAUCAUGGCGAAACAACAAAUAGAGAAGGCAAACAUUGGGAAGGAGAAUAAGAACUGGGCAAACCUGUUUGAAGGGAAUAGAAUGGCUGCUAAAGGUAUGAAUCUCACUUUUAUUGCUCCUCAAAUUCGCAAUGGUGUCAAAAUUGUGCAAUUGAAAAAGGAAGAGGUGGAUAAGGAGACAGAGAAAUGGCGUAAUGCUGUAAUAAUGUAUGUAAUUGGGAAAACACCUACAAUUGGGUUGUCGAACAAUUCAUUGCAUUACAGUGAAACUUCACAGCCAAACCUAAAGUUUACGUGCACAAUGAAGGCUACUUCAUUGUCAAGUUCACAUGCAAGGAAGACCAGAAUGAGGUCCUGUUCUCAGGGCCAUACACAAUCAAUAACAAACCUAUAAUAACCAAAGUUUAGACUCCGAAUUUCAAUUUUGAUGAGGAGGUAUUAAAAAUCAUACCCUUAUGGAUUAAACUUCCAAAUUUACCACUCAAUUGUUGGAGUAUGAACUCAUUAAGCAGAAUAGGGAGUAGACUAAGGAACCCUUUAUAUGAUGAUGAUUGUACAACAAAGGUCGAAAAGGUCUCAUAUACAAGGAUGCUUAUUGAGAUGGAUGUCACUCAACCAUUGCCAACAAAGGUGACUGUUGAAGAUCCUAAUGGAGAGAUAUUUGAACAGGAGAUAACAUACGAUUGGAGACCAUUGUAUUGUCCUACAUGCUUGCAAGUAGGGCAUUGCUGCCAACAAAAAGUCCAAACCACAAGGAAUCGGGAACAACAGCCACAAACUAUGAAGAAGCUUACGAAGCAGGUAUGUGUGAAAGCAGGGCAAAGCAAAACUGUAACACAGGUGCAAACUAAAAAUGACAAGGAAGUACCAGACAAUAAGGGGAAAGCCAAAGAAGGUGAGGAAGGUUGGACAGAAGUGCGUGGAAGAUCAGCUGUGAAGACAUUUAAAACAGGCGAACUAGAGAGUACAGAACAGCUGGUUAGCAUUAAUGGUUUCAAUUCACUUAGUGAAGAAGCAAAUCAACAGAGAAUGGAACCACAACAUGCACAGUAUAAAGAGGAGGAGGAAGUAGCAUAGGGGUGGAGGACAUGACUCAUUUUCCUUUUCUACCAAGAUGAAGAUAGUUACUUGGAAUGUUCAAGGGGUGAAUAAGUUGUAUAAACAAAAGGAGACAAAUGAGUUUAUUUGAGAGAAUAACAUUAGUAUUAUAGCAAUAAUAGAGCAUAGAACUCAAGAGAGUAAAGUUGCAAGUUUAUUUAAUAAAAUUGCACCUGGAUGGGACUGGAUCACUAAUGAAUCUCGUACACAAAGAGGGAGAAUAUGGAUGCUAUGGAACCCUAACCUUACAGUGAUAACUGAACUGAAUAUGCAUCCUCAAUUCAUACAUGUUCAAGUGAAAGGGAUAGCUGUGAACAUUGAAUAUCAAUUCACUGCAGUGUAUGACUUACAUAGUAUAAAGGACAGGCUGGUCUUGUGGCAACAACUGGAGCAAAUAGAGUCAUGGAAGCAAGGACCAUGAUUAAUAAUUAGGGACUCCAAUGCCAUAUUGAAUGUAGAAGACAGAGUACAUGGUAAAAAAGUGUAGGAUGCAGAAACAAGAGAUUUCAGAAAGUUUAUGGUAGAAGCUGAGAUGACAAAACUACAAACAAUUGGAAGAUCAUACACAUGGAGCAAUAAUCACACAUAUAGUAAGAUUGAUAGAUCCAUAGUCAACUCAAACUGGAUAACUACAAUGCCACUUCUAUCAGUGCAAGUUAUGGAUCCUAUCUUCUCAUAUCACUCUCCACUCUACAUUAAAUUGGGUAGGCCAAAAAAUAGAUGCAGGAAAGCAUUUAGAUUCAUGAACUGUAUAGCAGAACACCUUAAUUUCACCAAGGUAGUAGAAAACAGCUGGAGGCAAACUAAUAAUGCACACUAUAUGAAGGACAUCUGGGAGAAGCUAAAGCAUGUUAAGAAUGCCAUCAAAGAACUGAAUGUCAAAGAGUUUAAUGGGGUCACAAAAAGAAUCAAAGACAUCAGAGACAAGCUUAAAAAUGUACAGGAAGACGUGAGAACUCCAAACCACUCACAAGACUUAUUUAAGCAGAAAAGGAGCUGAGAAUACAACUUGAGAAAUGGUAUUUGAUAGAAGAAAGCAUAUACAAACAGAAAUUCAGGGUGCAAUGGCUAAAGUUAGGAGACUCCAAUUCAGCAUACUUCUUUGCAAGCAUGAAGAAUAGGAGAUCACAAAAUCAUAUCAAGGCUUUAGUGUCUACUGAAGACAGAAUUUUGCAAACAGAGAAGGGCAUAGAUGAGGAAAUACUCAAAUUCUACAAGUAGUUACUAGGAAAUGUAAAUACAACACUGCCAGUAAUACAGCCUAAUAUAAUGAACACAUGUUAUAUACUUAAUAAAAGGCAGCAACAAGCACUCAUUAGACCUUUUGACAAAGAAGAAGUAUAUAAGACACUACAGGGGAUAGAUGAAGCUAAAGCACCAGGGAUAGAUGGUUUCAACUCAUGCUUCUUCAAAAAAAGCCUGGACAACAGUUGGAGAGGAGGUGACCAAUACAGUGCUGAAGUUCUUUGAAACUCAAGACAUGUACAUGCCAAUAAACUGUACUGCUAUUACACUAGUUCCAAAAGUAAAGAACCCAUCUUAUGUGAAGGAAUUCAGACCAAUUUCCCGCUGCACUACAAUAUACAAAAUCAUAUAAAAAAUGCUAACCAACAGACUACAAGGGGUUAUGGAUGACAUGAUUGAUAAAGGACAUGCUGCUUUUGUACCUGGCAGGGUGAUCAAUGAUAAUAUUAUACUUAGCCAUGAGCUAAUAAAGUGGUAUGGGAGAAAAGAAACAUCACCUAGAUGCAUGAUCAAAAUUGACAUGCCAAAAGCCUAUGACUCACUAGAGUGGGUGUUCCUGGAGCAGGUGCUUAUUGGGUUGAAUUUCCUUGAGACAUUUGUGAAAUGGAUUAUGACCUGUGUACAAACAGUAUCCUACUCUAUUGUAGUUAAUGGUAAGGCAACUACUCCAUUUGCUGUAAAGAGAGGGAUGAGGCAAGGGGACCCCCUAUCUUCAUAUCUUUUUGUAAUAGAAAUGGAAUACCUUACCAGGCUGCUGAAGACUCUGAAGAGUAUGCAAAGCUAAACCUAGUGCAGUUGGGAUUUGCAGAUGACCUGCUCCUAUUCUGCAGGGGAGAUGUGAUAUCUGCAAAGCUACUGUAUGUUUGUUUUGACAGUUUUUCUAGGGCUUCUAGUUAGUAGCUAACCAGGAGAAAAGUUUUAUCUAUUUUGGAGGAGUUGCUCCUAACAUACAGCAUGGAAUCUUGCAAACUUUGGGCUUCCAAACUAGCACAUUGCCCUUUAGAUACUUAGGUGUACCUCUGAGCUCUAAGAGGCUAUCAGUUGGGCAAUGUCAACCACUAUUAGACAAGAUGACAGGAAGGAUCACUACCUGAAAAGUAAAACUAAUGUCUUAUGCAAGUAGGUUGCAUAUGAUUAAGAGUGUACUUACAACUAUACAAAAUUUCUGGUCUCAAAUAUUCAUAUUGCCUAAAAAGAUCAUUCAGGUGAUUGAAGCAAUUUGCAGAAGCUACCUCUGGACAGGAGCUGCAGAAUGUUCCAAAAAAGCUCUCAUUGCCUAAAAAAAGUUAUGCUUGCCUAAGGUUGUUGGUGGAUUGAACAUAACAAACAUUGGCUUAUGAAACAAAGCAGCUAUACUAAAGCACCACUGGAGUCUUGGGCAAAAAAGAUAGACUGUGGAUCAAAUGGGUCCACACAUAUUAUAUAAAGGGGAAUAUGAUGAAUGAAGUAAAACCAAAGCAGGCAUCCUGGGUUAUGCAAAAGAUCUUCAAUACAGGAAAAUAUUGAAGAGAUUGGGCUAACAGUAGAUGAGACUAUGAGCAGGGACAAGUUCUCCAUAAGGCAAAUGUAUAACAACAUACGAGGUGAUUAUUCCAGAGUUCAUUGGAGGAGGCUGAUAUGUAAUAAUCAAAGCAGUCCAAGGUGGUCCUUCAUUUUAUAUAUGGUUGUACAGAAUAGGCUAUAUACCAGAGAUAGGCUCAUCAAAUGGGGGAUGCAGAGUAGCCCGAUAUGUAUUUAAUGCGAGCAAGAACAGGAAACCACGCAACACUUAUUUUUCGAAUGCAACAUAGCAGUUGGAAUCUGGCAAAAACUACUCACCUGGCAAGGUGUCAGCAGAGCUGCAAUGGGAUGGUCUGAGGAGAUAACAUGGGCAAUAAAGAAUGCACGAGGGAAAUGUGGGAAAACUGAAAUAUAUAGAAUGACUUUAGCUGGGAGCAUUUACUAUAUCUGGCAGGAAAGGAACCUAAAACUAUUCCAGAACAAACGUAAAUCAGAGGAUGUGAUUGUAAAGAUGAUUAUACAAGAUAUACAUUGCAGAGGAAGCAAAGUACCAAGACUAGCAAAGCAGAUGGCAAGCCUAAACUUCUAUCCAUGAAGCAAUAAGGAGAAGGUCUAACCAGGUGCAAUAAGAUAAAUGAUACUCAGUAGUAAAGAUUUCUGAAGGUCAGAGUUAGUAGAAGAGACUAGAGAUGCAUGCUAAAGUUGGGACUGCAUGUCCAACUUUAGAAGGAUGACAUACUUGUACAUAGUAUUCAGAUAAAUAGAAAACUUAUUUACCAAAAAAAAGAAUUAUAUCCUAUCAUUGUACUUAAGAUGAAAUAAGAAAAGCCGAUAAGAUAAAAUUAUUAGGAACUUCUACAUUGUAUGUUCUUUUUAAGAAUUACUAUUAACAUAGAUUACACAACUUCUGGUAUACAGUGGGCGAAGCUAGGAUUUUCCUCAAGGAGAUUCAAACUUGAAGUAAAUAAAUAAAAAUUUGAUAAAGGGUGUUCAAUAUAUGUUAUGUACAUCUAAAACGUAAUAUUUUACUUAUAUAUACAGUGUAAUUUUUCGAUAAAGGGCGGUCAAUUGACCACCCUAACCAUAGUUGGCUUCGCCCCUGCUGGUAUAUUAAAAAGUAGUGCUACUAGUUUAAAUGGAGUAACAUUUAUAGCAUGUUUAAAUAUUUCCGAUCCAGAAUGUAAAUUGAGUGUAUGGAUAGUAACUGUAAUAAAGAAUUUCAACCUGGAUAGUUAUAAGGGUCACUUUUCCAUUUUUAUACUCCACUUAACAAAAUCUAUAGUUUACCUGAGAUAUUACACCCGAGCAUUAACCAAGAUCCAAACGACACAUGUCAAAAGAAAACUAAAGGCUGAGGACUUCACUGACUUGGUUAGAAUGCGUAUCAAAAUCACACCUUCUAAUUGGUCUGUAUCUGAAUAACCCUAUCCAAUAUCCUUAUCUCCACCACAUAUAUCCGAAUAACAAAAAAUGAACUCUCUUCUCUCAUUCUCAUUCUGCACAAAUACAUCUCCAUUUCCCUAACUUUCCUAAGCCAAUAAUUCUUCAAUGGCCAUGGCAACUCAAGCUUCUCUCUUCACUCCAGCUCUCUCUGCCCCAAAAUCCUCUUCCCCAUGGAAACAAUCCCUCGCUUCCUUCUCUCCUAAGCAACUCAAAUCCACUGUUUCCGCUCCCCGUCCCAUUAGAGCCAUGGCCGAAGAAGCCGCCGCCGCCGCCACAAAAGAAGCAGAGGCUCCAGUGGGCUUCACCCCACCACAAUUGGACCCAAAUACACCUUCCCCGAUCUUCGGUGGCAGCACCGGUGGGCUUCUUCGCAAGGCCCAAGUUGAGGAAUUCUACGUAAUCACUUGGGAAUCACCUAAAGAGCAGAUCUUUGAAAUGCCAACUGGUGGUGCUGCUAUUAUGAGGGAAGGUGCUAAUUUGUUGAAAUUGGCG